AGUUGAUCAAUCUAAGCAGGAAACUAAGCAGUCUGAAUUUCCUCAGCUGGUGAACCAGGGCAGUUGGGGAACCAAAAACACUCCUGUAAAAGGAACUCCAAGUGGUUCAUUAAGCCGACAAAAAUCCUUGGGUGGCAGGCAUGCUGAGCGUUCCCUUUCAUCCUCACCUGCCUCGGUUCAGUCAUCUCUUAAAGGGAAAAGAGAUACAAUUAACAAACAGUCUGAGGCCAUGGACUUCAGAGAUUGGUGUGAAAGUGAGUGUGUUAGACUUAUUGGGACAAAAGAUACGAGUUUCUUGGAGUUCUGCUCGAAGCAAUCCAGAUCAGAGGCUGAGAUGCUUCUGAUAGAGAAUCUUGGAUCAUUUGACCCCAAUCACGAGUUCAUUGACAAAUUCCUCAAUUAUAAAGAGUUGUUACCAGCAGAUGUACUCGAAAUCGCCUUUCAAAGUCGGAAUGAUCGAAUGGCCACUGCUUUCAGUGCUGGAGAUAUGAAUUUUGAAAAUGCUGGUGUUGGGGACUACGACCGUGAUAUCACCAUGGGACUUGAUGGGUCCUCAAAGGGUGGUGGAAAGAAAAAAGGAAAGAAAGGCAAGAAGGUUAGCCCUUCCGUUUUGGGAUUUAAUGUUGUCAGUAACAGGAUCAUGAUGGGUGAGAUUCAGACGGUUGAAGAUUAGGAGUCUUCUCAAGGUACAUGUAAAUACAAUUUGCUUUAACUAUGUGUAAGUGUUGUCUUAGGAUUUUUGUCUUGGCGUAAUGACGAAAAAAGCCAUAUCUUCUUGGUUUUUUUCUUCCAAAACUUCUAAUUUUGGCAAUUUUAUCCAAAUUGCAUACGGUGCAACUUUUUGCUAACUGAAUUUUCAGAUUAGUCUAUGGUCA
rnacentral:misc_RNA from 1 species